rnacentral:rRNA from 1 species
UACGAAGGGGACUAGCGUUGCUCGGAAUUACUGGGCGUAAAGGGCGCGUAGGCGGAUAGUUUAGUCAGAGGUGAAAAGCCCAGGGCUCAACCUUGGAACUGCCUUUGAUACUGGCUAUCUUGAGUUCGGGAGAGGUGAGUGGAAUGCCGAGUGUAGAGGUGAAAUUCGUAGAUAUUCGGCGGAACACCAGUGGCGAAGGCGACUCACUGGCCCGAUACUGACGCUGAGGCGCGAAAGCGUGGGGAGCAAACAGG